rnacentral:rRNA from 1 species
GCAGGCUGCAACUCGCCUGUAUGAAGUCGGAAUUGCUAGUAAUCGCGGAUCAGCAUGCCGCGGUGAAUACGUUCCCGGGCCUUGUACACACCGCCCGUCACACCAUGAGAGCCGGGAACACCCGAAGUCCGUAGUCUAACCGCAAGGAGGACGCGGCCGAAGGUGGGUUUGGUAAUUGGGGUGAAGUCGUAACAAGGUACC